rnacentral:snoRNA from 10 species
ACCUCCUACAAAGGCGUGUCUAUGGUUCCCUGUCUUUGGAUACGUAAGAACCGGAGGUAAAGAAAUGUGGACCUGAAGAAAUUUGGGGCCAGCUUGCUCCUCGCUGGCUCAAGAUCAGCAGUCCCACAUGG